UCUGGUGGCGAUAGCAAGAUGGACACACCUGUACCCAUAUCGAACACAGAAGUUAAGCAUCUUAGCGCUGAAGGUAGUACGCAAGUGUGAGAAUAGGACGUUGCCAGGC
rnacentral:rRNA from 1 species